UACGAGGGGGGCGAGCGUUGUUCGGAAUUAUUGGGCGUAAAGAGCUCGUAGGCGGUCUGUCGCGUCGGAUGUGAAAAUCAGGGCUCAACCCUGGACCUGCAUUCGAUACGGGCAGACUAGAGUUCGGUAGGGGAGACUGGAAUUCCUGGUGUAGCGGUGAAAUGCGCAGAUAUCAGGAGGAACACCGGUGGCGAAGGCGGGUCUCUGGGCCGAAACUGACGCUGAGGAGCGAAAGCGUGGGGAGCAAACAGG
rnacentral:rRNA from 1 species